CCGGGGUGGCUCGAGAGGAGGCCGGAAGCGGGUGCCGUGGCACACGCAGGGUCCCGUUGCCUCAGAGGACUAUGCUUUGGCAAGCAAUGAAGAAGAAAUAAAAAAUUCACAGGAUGAAGAUUUUUCCAGAAGGGAUUUUGAAUUAAAGAAGACUUUAUAAUGACAAAUGAACAAGGAAGAAAAGAAAAUGUUUAAGGACACAGAACAAAUGGGCAGCUCCAUUAAUACUGAGACUCAGCUUUUCA